GCGAUUUUAAACCACUCCGGUUCUCCGCCGCCACUCCCGCUUUAUACGGCGACGAUAUUAAACCGCUCCGGCUCUCCGCCGGCGCCAACAUCAUCGUCUUCACCUUCCUGUAGUGUCCGGUUCACUUGCUCAAUCUCUCCGACGACAAGAACUUUUGCUUUUAUGAGACCGACGACUCUAUCGUCGUCUUCUUCUAGACGGAGUUCGCAAAUUGUUCGUAUGGCGCCGGAAGAAGAGAAGAUGACUCGUCGUUCUCCGCUCGAUUUUCCUAUCGUAAGCUUGCGAAAACUCCAUUUUUUAUUUAAGUUUUAUUGGAGCUGCGCUUUUCUGUUAGCUAUUAUGAACAUGCAGCUUAAGUUUUUGCUAAGAGUAGAAUCUAUUAGUAUGUAGAAAUUAGAGAGAGAUAGUUUUUGGUUGGUUAAGUGUGAGCUUUUUUGUUGCUAUUUGGUUGAAUUAAAUUGUGCUAAUGCACUCAAAUGCCAAAUCCGUUCAGAAAAUAGCAAAGGAAAUUGCAAUUUGAUCUGUGAUAAAGUUUAAAUCUAUGAUUAAGAGAUGAAGCUUAUAGGUUUAAUCUAGAUACAGUUGUUGAUUAUUUAGGUGGGAAUGAUUGUUGCUGUUUGGAUGAAUUGAAUUGUGCAUUUACACACACUCAGGGUGUUGCCUAGUGGUUAAUGUAGAAAGUUGAGCAUCAUGAGGUUUCACGUUCAAAUUUCAACAGAGACGAAACACUCGGUGAAAUUUUUCUACUUAUUCUAGUCUUGGUAGACAGGGUCACAUGGUACCAGUUAUUGGUAGGAGGUGACAGUAUUUCGUGUAAUUAGUCGAGGUGCACGCAAGCUGGCUUGGAUGAUUAUAAAAAAAUUGUGCAUCUCAAAAAUAUCAAGCUACCGAUUUUGGUUUAAUAUGGUCAAAAAGAGUGUCAUUUCUGAAAUUGUAUCCAAAGUGGUGUAAAAUUCACACCAACCCGAACUCCCUAUGCUCAUAAAUAAAGUUAGCCCCUUUGAUUGGUCAGAGUGGUUCUUUUAGCAGUCUCAGGCAGUCCACCAUUUUGGCCGGUUGAAACAACCUAGAGGAAAGGUUGUCAGCCUACAUAACCAACUUUUGAUGCCAAGAAAGUUUUAAGUAUUGGUUGAGCCUCUCCUCUUUCCCACUUCAAGUUCCGGUACGUGAAAUGAUAUCCAAUGAUUAAUGUUUUAGUUGUCUGGUGGAGAGAUUACUCCUACCCACUACACCCCCCCAAGUACCAUCAUUGUGUUUGUUCAAGUUUCCCUUUUAGUCCUCAAAAGUGCUACCAAGAGAAGUACGACAAAAUAUAAAAAAUAAAAGAGAAGAACUUCGGUAGCAUCCUCCCAUUCUAUGCCUCUUCUAUAUUCUCACCGAUAUAUGGCUCUCCCGAGUUCACACCUCUGGCCCUUUACCAGGUAACCUUGAUUACCCGUCUUGUCACACGUCAUGGCCUAUUUUCCUCACCCUCAUCUGGUUCCCUUCCCUUCCUCUCUGCAAUGCAAAAUGGAUCUUUUCCCUCAUCCAUGCAGCUGGUUCCCUAUCUCUCCACUGGACGCACCACUCCAAAGGAGGAGAUGAUAGAAAGGAGGGGCCAGGGUAGCCACUAGCUGUCAGGCUAGGGUGGCGGGAAGGGGGAGUAGUAGAUGUAUGUGUUGCAAUUUUCCUUAUUUGCUUCCAUAGGCUACUCAAUGAGGUUUGAUGCUCAAUUUGUCAACCACUGGCCUUUGUUCAGCCCUUCCCGUAGUUGCAGGUACAACUCUUUCAUGGAUAUUGCAGCAGCAUGUAGAGGAGAACCCUCCCUCUCCCUUUACCUGGUGCUGUAAGUGGGUGCAAUGACAUCUCUCCGUAGCGUACUAAGAGGUGUACCGUCUCUUCCAACUAGCUAAUCUUGGUCUGCCAGGGAUCUGGUAACCAAAGAUACAGAGAUGCAAUACAAUUUUGAUCCUUUCAUUUAGUGUUAAUUUCUUGGAGCUUCUAAAAGCCCUUGGACACGUCUUUCUUGAAUUUCGAUGUCCUCAAUAAUAACCUUUACGUUAUGAUUCCACAUAGAAAAGUGUUGAAUUUAAGCCGAUACUGCAUUUUGCUUUCUAGAAUAAUUUCACUAAAGCUGCUAGGUAUUUUGAUGAAACUUGUUUUAUUUGCAGGAAUGGGAAAGACCCAAGCCCGGACGAAGACCAGAUAUCUUUCCCCAAUUCAGUCCCAUGAAAACUCCCUUGCCACCUCCUAUGCCG
rnacentral:lncRNA from 1 species